GCGCACGUGGCGGAAUUGGUAGACGCGCCAGGUUCAGGACCUGGUGCCCUUUUUGGGCGUGGAGGUUCGAGUCCUCUUGUGCGCA
rnacentral:tRNA from 1 species